rnacentral:lncRNA from 10 species
AGACACAGUCUCGCUCUGUCUCUUAGGCAUGAUCUUGGCUCACUGCAACCUCCACCUCCUGGGUUCAAGUGAUUCUUCUGCCUCAGUCUCCCAAGUAGGUGGGACUACGGGUGCGCACCACCAGGCCCAGCUAAUUUUUUUUCGUAUUUUUAGUAGAGACGGGGUUUCACCAUAUUGGCCAGGCUGUUCUUUAACUCCUGACCUCAUGAUCCACCUGCUUGGGCCUCCCAAAGUACUGGGGUUACAGGCGUGAGCCACUGCACCCGGCUGGAAAAAUAUUAUUCUAGUUGUUUCAAAAUGACAAGUAACUGUUGAUCAUCUUCCGUUUAAAAUAA